rnacentral:rRNA from 1 species
GAUGAACGCUGGCGGCGUGCCUAAUACAUGCAAGUAGAACGCUGAAGGGAGGAGCUUGCUCUUUCCGGAUGAGUUGCGAACGGGUGAGUAACGCGUAGGUAACCUGCCUGGUAGCGGGGGAUAACUAUUGGAAACGAUAGCUAAUACCGCAUAACAGUAGAUGUUGCAUGAUAUCUACUUAAAAGGUGCAAUUGCACCACUACCAGAUGGACCUGCGUUGUAUUAGCUAGUUGGUGAGGUAACGGCUCACCAAGGCGACGAUACAUAGCCGACCUGAGAGGGUGAUCGGCCACACUGGGACUGGGACACGGCCCAGACUCCUACGGGAGGCAGCAGUAGGGAAUCUUCGGCAAUGGACGGAAGUCUGACCGAGCAACGCCGCGUGAGUGAAGAAGGUUUUCGGAUCGUAAAGCUCUGUUGUAAGAGAAGAACGAGUGUGAGAGUGGAAAGUUCACACUGUGACGGUAUCUUACCAGAAAGGGACGGCUAACUACGUG